CGAGCCCUUCCUCGGGCCAGGCACCAGCCUCCGGGGGCCCUCGGGGACUCCCUCACGCCCCACCACGUGUGGGGAGCUCCGCGGACACCCAGGACUCAGAGCCCGCCAAGCGCCCUGGCCUCCUGACGGCUCUGACUCCUAGCAGCCUGAGCGGCUCGUGGCCUGCGGUGACAGGACGCAGGCUGAUGUCCUCCUGCCUUGGCCCCUGUGAACUGCUGCUCACCGCCCGCCUCCAGGGCAAGCGCCUCCCUCCAGAGACAUUCGGGGCCGCAGACGAGGACACUUCCCUGUGCACCUGAGCCAGGGGAGUCCAGCCCACAGAGUGCAGAAUCACCAGAGAUGUCCGCACAGUACACGGCCGGGAGGGGGGACUCACAGAGACCAAAGUCCUGCCACGUCCUGCCUCUCCGCGUGGCCCAGCAAACCGUUUCCUCCCCGUGAGACCCUCCCCGCCGCCAGAUGCUCAGGAGCCUCGUGCCCAGCCCGUCCUGGGUCCCGGUUUGCUCACAGGGACUCUGCACCUAUGGAAUUAAAUCUGAUUUUCUCCUGUC